AACGAACGCUGGCGGCAGGCUUAACACAUGCAAGUCGAACGCCCCGCAAGGGGAGUGGCAGACGGGUGAGUAACGCGUGGGAAUCUACCUAGUUCUACGGAACAACAGUUGGAAACGACUGCUAAUACCGUAUACGCCCUAUGGGGGAAAGAGUUGUCGGAAUUAGAUGAGCCCGCGUAAGAUUAGCUAGUUGGUGAGGUAAUGGCUCACCAAGGCGACGAUCUUUAGCUGGUCUGAGAGGAUGAUCAGCCACACUGGGACUGAGACACGGCCCAGACUCCUACGGGAGGCAGCAGUGGGGAAUAUUGGACAAUGGGCGCAAGCCUGAUCCAGCCAUGCCGCGUGAGUGAUGAAGGCCUUAGGGUUGUAAAGCUCUUUCAGUAGGGAAGAUAAUGACGGUACCUACAGAAGAAGCCCCGGCUAACUUCGUGCCAGCAGCCGCCGUAAGAC
rnacentral:rRNA from 1 species